UUUAAAAGUAUUGACAUUUGUUUUUUUGCAGGUUUGCCCAAACUGUCUUGUAUCGUACCCACUCGAUGUCCUCCCAUCUCAUGCAAGCCCAUGUAGGGACAGGCUCAGCAGCUCUUACAACCCCUUUGAAGGGGAAAAAGAACAUCAGGUUCCCUCUGCAGCUGCUGUGCUGCGGGAGAGCAACCUGUUUGAGAUGGCCGGACUCAGGACUCAGAUAAUGCGGUGACUCAGCUGACUGGUGGGAGCACAGACACUGCAGCAUCAGCUCUGACCCUGCAGGACUGUCCUGAUACUGACCAUCGUGAAACAAUUGGUUUGACCGUGAUCCAGAACAUUCACCGUACACAACCCAAAUGUGACAGCGAUGAGGACGAAGACCACCCGGUUCCAUUGGAGAAAGUCACUUCCAUCACUGGGUCUUUCAGGAAAUCAUAAUGGAAGAGUCACCGAAGGUGCUGCGUGACCUCAUGAAGUUGUGGGUCGAGUGGGAGCUGCCGACAAGAAACCUCAUCAUUGAGGUUGUAACCUCAACUUCUUCUUCUUCAAAUGGAAACUCCCCAGCCACUACCAGACCUACAAGAUGUCUACUACAGGAAAACGCCUGCAGAGCUCGGACCAGCCGCCUCAAAGACAGUUUUUACCCCCAGGUGGUUACACUGUUCAAUAUAGCAAGCACUUUAAAUAACGCACCAAGGAACCAAGCCAACUUUCCUGCAUUUUACUAAUGAAUUCAAACAAUAUAGCACCAUCAUAGCCAAUAUAAAAAACAAAAAAGCCACUUUUAAAUGAUUAAAUUAAUACAAUAUGAUGUAUAUGACAUAAACUCUGGCAUUAUGAAAUGUAUAUGCAAUUAUUUUUAUUUUGUCUUAUGUAUCUGUUAGUACAUCUGUUAAUGAGCAUGAGUUCAAUAAAGAAAGUAUUAUAUAUAA